ACUCGAUAUCCACGUAUAUACAACCUUCUCUUGAUACUCAGCAUGUGUACUGCCGUUGUAAGCAUACCUCUAAAAGAACAAGUAUGCCGCUAUGACAAAUAAGCUCAUAUACAUCAGGUCAAAGUGCAGCCAAUAAGAAGGUGAUGAUGGGUUACAACCCCAAAAUAGACUAUCAACUAAGAAAUUAAAAAUCUUACGAAAGUGGACUUGGCCGUAAUCUAUUUACAAGUUAAAAAAAUGAAUGUACACCUAAGACAUGCACACAUCGCCCGUCACUCUAUCCUAAAGGUUAGAUAAGUCGUAACAAAGUAGGUGUAAUGGAAAUUGCACCUGUCGGGGUAUAGCAUAUAUAAUGCUUUUUACUUACACUAAAAAUAAAGUUAAAUUUACUUGCCUCGCCCAAAUAAAAUAAUCCUUUAAAGCAUUAAUAAUCCAAACAAUUAAAAUAAACAAAACACAAAGUACAGAAAUGGAAAAAAUAACAACUAAAAGUAAAUUUUAAUAACUGUACCUCGUGCAUUAUGGUUUUACAAGAAACUAAUUAAAUAUUUAAAUCCCGAAUUCUAAAUGAGAUGUUAAACUGCUGUUAAGAACUUAUUAGUAGCUGUAGAAAAAGCUUUAAAAGACAGUUUAACAGAGGCUACAUACCAUUCGCAUAAGAAUAUAGCUGGUUUUCAACAAACAUUAUACAUUAAAACAUAUAAUUAAUAUUAUAGUGUAAUAUUAUUGAGGAUAAGCCCAAUAAUCUAAACAAUGCUAAGCCAAACUCUAUUUUACUUCAUAGGCUUAAUAUCAGCCAACUAUAGUACUUUAUCGUAACAAAAAUUGAUAUAAUACAUAACCUGGCAUGUAAAAAGAAGUUGAAAUACUGGGCAACCUACAAAACCCAUUACUACUAUGUAAAAAUAAGUAUUAAUAAAUUAUAUUAUAAAAUAACUAAAAAACUAAAAUAAACUAUACAAUAAUAACUAAUUAAGAAACUCGGCAAAUCACUAUUUCGACUGUUUAACAAAAACAUUGUCUCAUGAACAACAUAUGAGAUAAUACCUGCCCAG
rnacentral:rRNA from 1 species